UUUGAUAACCUUGGUUAAGGAUCUGUGUUACGGCCGCAGAGCUGGAGUUAAAUCCUAUCAA
rnacentral:tRNA from 1 species